rnacentral:rRNA from 1 species
CCUACGGGUGGCAGCAGUGGGGAAUAUUGGACAAUGGGGGAAACCCUGAUCCAGCGACGCCGCGUGAGUGAAGAAGUAUUUCGGGACGUAAAGCUCUAUCAGCAGGAAAGAAAAUGACGGUACCUGAAUAAGAAGCGCCGGCUAACUACGUGCCAGCAGCGGCGGCAAUACGGAGGGGGCAAGCGUUAUCCGGAUUUACUGGGUGUAAAGGGAGCGUAGGCGGAAGCGCAAGUCCGGAGUGAAAUGCCGGGGCACAACCCCGGGACUGCUCUGGAAACUGGGAAGCUGGAGUGCAGGAGAGGUAAGCGGAAUUCCUGGUGUAGCGGUGAAAUGCGUAGAUAUCAGGAGGAACACCGGCGGCGAAGGCGGCUUACUGGACUGUAACUGACGUUGAGGCUCGAAGGCGUGGGGAGCAAACAGGAUUAGAUACCCUUGUAGUC